AAGACUAUAGACCUGCGGAGUACCUGCGGAAGGAUCAUUAACGUAUCUAUGAUGGGGUGCGGAGCGCCCUGCUCCGGUCGAACGGCCGUGCAGUGGGUGCGCCGCCCCCGUCCCACCUCACAAACCCACUGUGAACAUUCACCGGUGGAGGGGGCUCGGUCUGCGCCGUGUCCCCGGUGCCGAAUACCCAAACUCCAGUUGCAAAGAACGUCGUGCGGACUCGGUGCCGCCUAAAACAUG
rnacentral:misc_RNA from 1 species